CCACCAUUAGCUAUGUUUUUUCUCCAAUGAUGAACAAGAGUCUGCAUGCCACACUUGUAAAUAUUUGCACCAGCGAAGGUGACCCAUUGUUUCACAGCUGCUAAGAUGGUGUUGUUGCUAGGAAAAUGUUGUAAAUACAGUUCAUCUUUCAUAGGUGCAAAGAGAUGGAAUUCAGAAGGUGCCAAAUCCGGACUAUACAGAGAAAAGUGAAAAUCCAUUAGAAAGAAGCGAUAGGAAGGAAAAUUUUGCUUAAUGGGCAGAGGAUGCACAAGUCAGUUCCGGUGAUGAGUGACAUCCCCCAGCAACCCGCCUUGUAAGUGAUGCUCUUCGACAUCUUUACCAGUGACCUGAAUAGUGG
ensembl:lncRNA